UGUUACAAUUUUAGCUUGGUCAUUUACAGCUGUGAAUCCCGGAAAGAUCCCUGUCCUACAGGAAAAAAAAAAAAAAAAAAAAAAACAUCUCUACUAUAGGAGAGGAAGAGUUGUAUAAACUCAUUAAAUUAAAUAAUUUAAACUAACAACAUUUACUGUGUGUUAGACUCUAUUCCAUCUAACCUCCUAAAAGCAGUGCUUCUAGAAGUCAUAGAUUCUCUUCUGACAAUUACAUUAUAUGAAUGAGCGGAUUUGAUCCUGGCCUGGUGUCGCUACCCUCGCAUGUGAAUUGUUGAAUGAUAAAUGUGACUCAAUAUACAUCAAGGGCUCUACUGGACAUAAUAUUUGCUACCGCAGUCAUUUACACUGCUUUCGCAAUUAGCACACCUGUUAUGUCUGCAUUUGAGUGUCUGGUGAUGAAAAUAAUGCCAAUGCUCCUGUGCUUCCCCCCAAAGUCAAUUUGUGACCAGACACUGCUGCCUCGGAAGGAUUGUGAGUGGACAAAGCCGCCUCGAGUGAACUGUGAGUGGACACCGCCGCCUCUGGGGAACUGUGAGUGGACACUGCCUCGGAGGUAUCAUCAGCGAGCACUGCAGCUUUGUGAAAGCCUGAAGCGAGCCCCGCUGCCUUGGAGUGAUCACCAGCAGGCUCAGUCACUUCGUGAAGGCCAGAAGUGAGCCCUUCUGCCUCGGAGAGAUCAUCAGUGGGCUCCGCCGCUUCAUGAAGGCCUGAAGCAAGCCGUGCUGCCUCAGAAAGAUCAUCAGCAGGCUCCGCCGCUUUGUGAAGGCCGGAAGCGAGCCCUGCCACCCCUGCCAUCUCGGAGGAACAUCAGUGCCCACCGCCCCACUGCCUUGGGAGCAUUAUAAAUAGGCACCCCCACUCUGACGGCUAAGCCACUCAACUGCAGAGCCAAGAUCGAUUGGCUGAGCCUCAUGGGAGGCAACACACCUGGAGAGUCGGUCAGAAGAUUGCUAAGGAAACUCGGGACGAAUGCUCUAUUGGCCCAAUAUAGUCUUAAAGGCUGCAAGGGAAAGAAGAAUUUCCAGGAACUGGAAAUAUGUUAUGUCAUAAUCCUUGAGUUGUUUCUCAGUUGUUUCUUAUGCUUAACAUUUUAUAUUAAGUCGCAGAAGAUAAACUUUAUUUUCAGAGCAAGCUAGGCCAAAGACUGCAUAUGAGUCAUUGAGGAAAUGAGAAGUGUAUUUGACAUACUUUAUGCUUAAUCAUCAUUUAUUGUAAGUAGCAGUAACAUGUGUGGUUUUUGUGUAUCUUAACUGGAUUUUAAGAUGCCUGUCGUCGAACACACACCAAGGUGCUGGAAAAAGUAAUUGAGGACUUCAUAUCAGAAACACUGAAGUUUGCACCACACAGAGAUAAGAUGCUGCAAUCUAAGGUGUCACUUCAGGCCGAAGCAGAGACUUCGGGAAAAGAAGACACACAGAUCACACUUAAUUAGUUGUUUUACACACAGAACGUAUUUUAUGUAAGAUUUGGAAUGUUUCAGUUUGUGGAAUGUUUGAGUAUAUAAAAUGUGAAAGUUAAGAUAUCAGUAAUGCCAUUUUUUUUUUCAUUUAAAUGUACUGUACUUUACAGUAUACUUAAAGUAUCCUUGGCAAAAUGUAGACAAGUACAAUAUGAAUGAAAAUUAUAAAAUAUAUUAAAAUAUGAAAAAUGUUUGUGUAGUGUAUUU